CAGAGUAGGCCAUUUCGCGUUAAGUGCUGCGGAAACGGGGAGUUGUUUCGCGGACGAAAACGGGCUUUGCCCGUUGCGGUGGAAGGGUCGCAUCCCGCUG
rnacentral:ncRNA from 1 species